GACGAACGCUGGCGGCGUGCUUAACACAUGCAAGUCGAACGGAAAGGCCCUGCUUUUGUGGGGUGCUCGAGUGGCGAACGGGUGAGUAACACGUGAGUAACCUGCCCUUGACUUUGGGAUAACUUCAGGAAACUGGGGCUAAUACCGGAUAGGAGCUCCUGCUGCAUGGUGGGGGUUGGAAAGUUUCGGCGGUUGGGGAUGGACUCGCGGCUUAUCCGCUUGUUGGUGGGGUAGUGGCUUACCAAGGCUUUGACGGGUAGCCGGCCUGAGAGGGUGACCGGCCACAUUGGGCCUGAGAUACGGCCCAGGCUCCUCCGGGGGGCAGCAGUGGGGACUAUUGCACAAUGGGCGGACGCCUGAUGCAGCAACGCCGCGUGCGGGAUGACGGCCUUCGGGUUGUAAACCGCUUUCGCCUGUGACGAAGCGUGAGUGACGGUAAUGGGUAAAGAAGCACCGGCUAACUACGU
rnacentral:rRNA from 1 species